ACCGCAAAGAAUCACCGACACUCACCGUCACUCACGAGCUUCUCAACUGUCACUGCAUCCAUCAAGUCCGUUUCCGGUUAUAAGUUCAACUCAUGCAAAUGAUGUAUAAAUAUGUGCCGCUACUUGAUGUGCGAUAAAAUUGGUGAAAAACAAUUGUUCGGUUAUAUAUAGUUCCUGUUCAGGAGAUCACUCCAACAAUUCUUGCUACAGUGUUCCUAAAGAACGUGCAAGAAUCACCUGAAGCACUCUCCGACCGAUUCCGAAAUCGAAACCGAUCCUGCAGACAGAACUGCAAACCUGGCCAAGAAUAAUUUAUUACACCAUCAUCAGUGUGCCUAACCUCAUCAAGACGGAAACAAUCUAACCGAACACGGGAAGCAUCGGAACCAUCACGACCUAGACACGAUAGGCAGAGGAGCAUCAAAUUCCGGCUCACCUGUAAAGAGAGUCUUGCCAGAAUCCACCGCAUUACAGGGUGAACCGACGUCGCAUCCUGGGAAGAUCAGACUUCCUGAACA